rnacentral:tRNA from 1 species
GGCCCCUUAGCUCAGUGGUUAGAGCAGGCGACUCAUAAUCGCUUGGUCGCUGGUUCAACUCCAGCAGGGGCCACCA